rnacentral:misc_RNA from 1 species
AAGUCGUAACAAGGUUUCCGUAGGUGAACCUGCGGAAGGAUCAUUAACACGUGUUCCACGUAUAAACCACUGUGCACUCGUUCCGUACUGCGGGCGGUAAACCUUUGUGAAGGGGAAUCUGAAAGGAUUUUCCUUUGCGGAGGUGGUCUCGUCCUGUCUUCGGACCCCUUUCUUUUUCAUUAAGGAUUGGGUGCCUUAGGCGUUUUACUAUUAACCUUUCUUUAAUACUUUGUCUAAACUUACUGUUGAUUCAGCGAAAGCUGGUCGACAAUAUCUAUUUAACGAUAGAACAACUCUUAGCAACGGAUAUCUUGGUUCUC